AUCGCAGACAGAAACGCGGAAACCAAAAUAAAAUUGACAACUUAGCUUCGACGAGCAGCUCAUGGAAGAAUUCGGCGAUCUGCUGGUCGAGAGCACUCACAACUUGUGAGACAAAGAGCGAAUUCAACAAAGUUAAACAAAGACAACGAAAACCAUCGUAGCUCCCAUUCAGUUCCGUACAGCAUAUACGGCUAUGGCGACUAUCAGAAAGCUGUUGAUCUAUGGAUACAAUUCGGACCAACAAACUGGUGAGACGAAUGAGCCCCUUGCGGCGGAAGCAUUCAGACAGAACUUCGCAACCAUCAGAACGCACCUAGUGGAGAAGACGUAUGCUGUUAUGUCAAGAAAGACAUACUUUUAGUUUGAGGUACGGACUGUGGGACUGAUGAGGGACUGCAAUUCCGAAACGAUGUUGGGGAAUGAUGAUCCAUCGUGUGCUUUUGAUGGCUACAAUAUAAGCAUGAGCACAAAUAUCGAAUCCGAUUGUUCAAUACGACCAAUCACGACCCCUCAAUCCAAUGUAGUCGUUCUGUUACAAGAAAACAAGCCCCAAAUUCCUACUGAAGACACAUUUCCACUGCCUCACCAAGAGCAAAUCACAUAGAUGGUUGCCGAAAAAGUUCAAAUGUAAGUUUAUAUGAACCCCCUUCUUCGAACUCUGGGGCAUUCCAGAGCGUCACAAUUAAAUGGGCAAGUAAACUACACCUGCGCAGGGUCGAAGAUUUCGGUAGGCGAUACCUGGUCGGAGACGUAAUCGUUUUCUUCAUAAAUAUCCACGACAAGAUCAGCACGAGAGGAAUAAAUACGAACUAAGAGUACUGGGUACUGGUGUCAUCGACUUCCUGCUAAUCAGCGCCCCAUUCUCUAGAGACAGUGAUGCAGUAGAAGGAGUUAUUGCGACGAGAAUUAUUGUUGUUUUCAUAUUUCAUAUUUUUUUUAUUGUAGAACUAUUGAAAUUGUAUAUAGAAUAAAUUAUUAGUGAAAUAUUAUAUUAAAAUAACAUGUUAUCAAACACAGGAUUUUAAAUAAAAC